ensembl:lncRNA
ACAGAACAGAUCUGCACUUCUAGAGAGAGCCAAAGCUUCAGUGAAAGUUAAUGAUGGAGGAAAGAAAGACCCACUUGGACUAUUAUGCUGUAGACUUGUAUGGCCUCUUUCCAGCAGGGUGGCCUGGACUUCUUUACAUAGCAGUUGGGUUCUAAGGGAAAAGCAGAAGCUGGAAGUGGCCGUUCUCCGAAGGCCUGUCUGCGCUCAGAAAUCCCGGAUGUUAUGUCUGCUGCAUUUUACUGGUCAAAGCAAGGUCGUCCACACCAAAGGAGUGAGCUCACACACACUGAAGAGUAGAGGAGGCAACAAAUGGCUUCUAAACGUGGUAAUUACCCCAUGCUACUUUCAAGAUUUGAAGAUGUGCCAAAAGUUGUCUGACCCCAGAGUGUGCACUAAAUACUGCUUUGGAAACCAUUAAGAACCAAUGCUUUAGCAACCUAAUUUAUGGGCACAGUAGCUUCACAGCAAUGUUUGCAGUGGAAAAUUCCUCUAACUCCCAGGAUAAAGGAUGGGAAUAAUUAUUCUGGACUGGAAGAAUGUACUCUGAAAUAUGGAAGAGGAACAUGAUAAAAAAGGGGUAAACCUUCAUAUGAAUAUUUAUGAAAUCCCGAGUUCUUUUGACUAUUUCUAAGGAAAGAUACACCGACAUGAAAUCUUUGGGUGAUUUUCUGUUUUACUUACAAGGGGAAAAAAGGAAUAAAGAUGUUUCUCUCUGCUAUCAACGGU